rnacentral:rRNA from 1 species
UACGUAGGGUGCGAGCGUUAAUCGGAAUUACUGGGCGUAAAGCGUGCGCAGGCGGCGCGUUAAGACAGGUGUGAAAGCCCCCGGCUCAACUGGGGAGGGUCACGCGAUACUGAUCGACUCGAAGGCAGGAGAGGGUAGUGGAAUUCCCGGUGUAGUGGUGAAAUGCGUAGAUAUCGGGAGGAACACCAGUGGCGAAGGCGGCUUCCUGGCCUGUUCUUGACGCUGAGGCGCGAAAGCUAGGGGAGCAAACGGG